CGGGAUGGAUUGAUGAUAUGAUAAUCAUUUCGUUUCUUAACAUUCUGUGAUGUCAUUAGCCGAUAAUAUAUGCAUUCUGAUGGUCGUUCCUACUUGAACUUAUCUCAUUCGGUAAGUUAUAUAUUGCUCGUCAUAAAUUUAUAAAGAGACAUUUCAAAAUCUCAAGCAUGACGUUCCUAGCUAUAUAUACAAAGACAAAUUCCUUGCUUCCAACUUCAGCCAACUGCGGACUCAUCUCAUUCCUAAUGAUGUCACGACUAUCAGUAAGGUACGUGCAUCUAAUCUUUAUAACAUACCACUUGCCCUGUUAAUAUGUGAUAAUACAGAUCAGCAUCCAACAUGUGUUUUUAAGCAGCUGACAGUAAAGCACUACCCAACAGCCGACAGAACUAAUCAUUU
rnacentral:lncRNA from 1 species